rnacentral:rRNA from 1 species
UACGUAGGUGGCAAGCGUUAUCCGGAAUUACUGGGCGUAAAGCGCACGCAGGUGGUCUUGUAAGUUUGACGUGAAAGCUCUCGGCUUAACUGGGAGAGGUCGUUGAAGACUGCAAGACUUGAGGAAAUGAGAGGGGUGUAGAAUUCCCGGUGUAGUGGUGGAAUGCGUAGAUAUCGGGAGGAACACCAAUGGCGAAGGCAGGUCUCUGGGCCACUACUGACGCUGAGAAGCGAAAGCAUGGGGAGCGAACAGG